rnacentral:lncRNA from 1 species
CCAUAACUCCCAGGACUGCAUCAGUUUUCCUUUAGGAAAAAUGAUGUCAACCCAAGUCAUAGUAACUAUGAUCAUAACCACUGCUCUGGUGGUUCAUUACCACUUGGGAAGCACUUUUCUUGCAUUCUAUUUAGAUAAGCAGUCUGGGGCCAUGUCAUUACACAGCAAAGCAGCUAGUCCAAUCAUACUCACAAUUUGGGUCACUUCAUUCUUCAUUUUCCCAGAAUUGGAGAGCUCCACAAGGAGAAAAAUCCUGGUAGUCUGGCUUUUGAAUCUGUCGAUGAUAUACGAUAAAGAUGAAUCUCCUCUUCUUUCAAGGUCCCUCCCUCUCUCUACCCUGCUCCCCAUCUCCGACGCUGAAAUCGCUGAAGACCUUGCUGACAGCCUACAGAGAUCUGGUUUGGCUGCCUCAGUGCGGACACCUUCUUGGAUCUGCCUCCACGGAAUUCCGAGUGACCAAGGGGAAAAGAGAUCCUGUGACUUCAGGAAGAGGAGACCCAGAUAUGUGCUACCAAUGGGAAGGGCUUGAUUCUCUCCUAGAAGAAUUUCCUAAGGUGCUGAGGCUGCUGCUGCCCCAGGAGUUUACUGGAGAGGCUGUGUCAUUCUCAGGUUCCCCUUUGGAGAAGCGAGCAUUCAGGUGUGGAUGAGAAGGAACUGACUGGAUGUCAGGAUGCAGCUAGGGCUAGGGGAGAUAUGUUUUCCCUCAUCCUGUCCAGAAUUAACCCCAGCAAAGCCUGAGCCUAGGGAACAGCUCUGUGAGCAGACUUAAUAACCCCUUGUUAGCCAUCCAGUCCAG